rnacentral:rRNA from 1 species
GUGAACGCUGGCGGCGUGCUUAACACAUGCAAGGCGAACGAUGAUGGAGAGCUUGCUCUCCUGAUUAGUGGCGCACGGGUGAGUAUACCAUAGAUAAUGUACCUCUUAGUUUGGGAUAGCCACUGGAAACGGUGAUUAAUACCAGAUACUCCUUCUCGUUAUAAGACGAGUCGGGAAAGUUUUUUCGCUAAGAGAUCAGUCUAUGUCCUAUCAGCUAGUUGGUGAGGUAAUGGCUCACCAAGGCUAUGACGGGUAUCUUGUUUGAUAGGAUGAUCAGACACACUGGAACUGAGACACGUUCCAGACUCCUACGGGAGGCAGCAGUGAGGAAUAUUGCACAAUGGAGGAAACUCUGAUGCAGCAACGCCGCGUGGAGGAUGACGCAUUUCGGUGUGUAAACUCCUUUUAAGAGGGAAGAUAAUGACGGUACCUCUUGAAUAAGCACCGGCUCCCUCCGU